GCGGCUGUGAGGAGCAGAAAAGUGAAAAGGAUGAGUUUUAGGCAGGAGAGUAAGGCCUCCGGCUGUUGCUGUCUUCUCUUUCUUCCUUACCGUUUUUCCCCGUCUUCCCCCAUCCCGCUGGGUGGAUUUUUAUUAAUUUAUUUUUACUUCAUAAAAUAGAAAAAUUUGAACUUCGUAAAAACCUGCUUAUUCCUGAGCGAGGUGGCUCUUUCCUGUAAUCCCAGGACCAGGAAUCAACAGUCAAGAACUGGAGGCCAGUCUCUGCUAUAUGAACCAACUGGUCGUUUUGUUUUGUUUUCUGACUUUUUAUUGAUUCUUGGCGAAUUUAACACCAUGCACUCCAAUCCCACUCAUCUCCCCAUUCCUUCUUAUCCACCCUUGCAACCUCCCCCCCACAAAACCAAGUAGGCUUUUUAAAAGAAAUUAAUUAAUUAAUUUACAAAAUGAGAUGGACUUAAAUAAGACCCCUGCAUCGUGUGGAUUUCCCACACGGUACUCUACAAACUGUGAAAAGAGGAAACAAUAUUCAGUUCCUUGUGCACAGGCCUGUGAAUCUCUCUGACCUCUAAACCGUGCUUGAAUUCCAGAGAAGAGCUCUGUUUUUCUAGUUUGGAAUUAGGCAAGCUUUUCCUGGAGCUGGCCCCAGGCAGGGUGAAGGCUGAGGGCUCAGGGCCCAGGGCUUCCCUGGGAAGGCAACCUCGGCGGCGGUGUGGAUUCUGCUCUGAGCAGGCAGCUGGAUGCUGACUCUGUCCAGAGGAGAAAGUCUGCUCAGCCACCCUGAAACAUAUCCAGGCUCGUGCACGGUGGGGACAGACACACUGGUCAUCCUAACGCCGAGGAAGUGGACGCACAAGCGAGGAGUGACGCAGUGAGGAGUUUGAAUCCAGCCUGGCCUACAACACGAGACCACGUCAAAAAAAGAAAGAAGGAAGGAAAUAUAAAACACACAGAGGCAAACUGAGGUGCUGCUGCUAAGCCUCACGCAGCAGUGUGACUAGUUCCAGCUGCUUUGGACGCUGAGGAAGACAGAUCACUGGAGCCCAGGAGUUCCGGGUCAUCCUAGGUAACAUAGCAUCUCAAAAUAUAAGCAAUUAAAAUUAUUAUUAUUAUAAUAAGUAGCCACACUUGCUAUUUAUAUGCUCCUCUAGGGAGAGGUCAACAGAAAGCUGAAGGUCAGAUUCAGCCAUUUUUUUUUUCCUUGUUUGUUUGUCCGUUAGAACCAGGGUCUCCCUACAUAGCCCAGGCUGGCCUCUAACUUCUAAGCAAUCUUCCUGUCUCUGGCUUCGAGUCCUAGGAUCACAGCCAUGUGGCAUACACUCAACUUCAAGCCUGUGUUUUGAUUUUUUAAAUCAAUUUUUUUAAACAGCAUUUCCUAUCUCUCAGGAUGCUUUGUAUUUAUAUUUUAUUUAUAGUUAUGGUAUAUAAAUUUUUAAAAUUUGAAUUAGUGGGAGAAAACUUUUAAAUAAUUAAAUUGGCUGGUCAUGGUGGCAAACACGUUUAAUCCCCAGCACUCAGGAGGCAGGGGCAGGCGGAUCUCUGUGAGUUCGAGACCAGCCUGGUCUAUAAAGCAAGUUUCAGGACAGCCAGAGCUGUUACACAACUCUGACUCGAAAAGCCAAAAAAAAAAAAAAAAAACCAAACAGACAAAUAAAUUGUUGCUAACAGCAAUAACAACAAGCUGGACAUGGUGGCAGCACAGCAGUAAAUCCCAGCAUUUGGGGGGCAGAGGCAGGGGGUUCAUCAUGAGCUACAAAGUAAGAUCCAGGCCAGCCUGGGUUGGGACUCUUAAAAACACAGCACAGCACACAACACUCAUCCACAAAAUGACUAUGACGAAAGAAUUCUGGGAGUUGGGACUGGCUAAUCACCGGGAAUGAGGUAAUCACAGUCAAGCUACUGCACAGGGCUAUCAGUGGGCAGCGGAAGAGAUUCUGUAACAAUUUAAAUCAAGUUUCUGUGUUGUUUCCUUCCAUCCCUCCCUGCAUACGUCAUCCCCUAAACUGCUCUCGCUGUGACAGUGCGCAGUCCACAGCCACUCCCCACAGGGAGCUUCCGCUCCCAGCUAUGAUGGCUACUGUGGUGUGCCAAUUUCAGCCCAUUUUCAAAUUAAAGUUUCAUUACUGCCGCUAUUAAGUUUGUCCUUUAAGGGGUAAAAAAAAAAAAAAAAAAAUGGUCUUGGAAAGAGCAAGGUAGAAGUGGGCCUCUGGAUCCUACAGGUCAGUUUUAGGCAGAUCACUUUUCAAAAUGCAAUGGGCAGAACCGGGGGCUGGACGGGGUGUGUGGUUCCCCCCUGCAGGGCAUCUGGCCACUGGCUCUGGCUCUGACAGGCCUGCCAGACACAGCCAAGCCCAAAGACCCAACAGAUGGCUAGCAUCCUUCCAUUCUUCCUUUCCUCGCUUUAGACUCAUAUCUCCUCUUGCCCUGAAAAUGACCAGGAGAAGGAGUUCCUCCUUCAUGCAAUGGGCAGGGACGCUCUUUCCUUCUUUCCUUCCUAAAGGUUAAUGUCAAAGAUUUGUCCCUGCCAGGCCAGAGAAUGUUUCAUCAGAGACGCUGCUGCUAUAUUUAACCCCCACGUGCCUUUCAAGCAGAGCAAUUCAUGUGACGAAAAACAGCCGUGACAAACCGUCCUGGCUAUCUCCCGGAGAAGAAAAACAUCGAGUUUAAAAGCUGCGGUUCUCAUGGUGAAUCAAGCAUAUUAGGGCAACUCAUGGAAAGUACCCGUUCUACUUUGGAGACCUGGAUACCAAAGCUCAGGAGUCGAAGAAAACAAAAUCGUCAGGCAGUGGUGGAGCACGUCUUUUAAUCUCGGCACUCAGCAGGCAGAGAAGGUCCAAGUUUGGCUCCUAGCAUUCCUGUCAAUCAUCUCCUAUAACUUCAGCUCCAGGGGGUGCAGACACCUUCUUCUGGCUGAAGGCACCUUCCCCAACGUGGCAUCUUGGCACACAAGUCCACAUAUAUACACAUAAAAUAAAAAAAUCUUAAAAAAAACCUAUUAAUAAUAGAUAAUUCAGUGGGGUGGGGGAGUGGCUUGGAGGAAAAGAGGGAGGGGAAACUGUAAACUGUAAAAAAAUUACAUAUAUGUGUGUGUGUGUACAUAUAUUAUAAACAUGUCUAUGUGUGUGUGUAGAUAUAUAUUAACGCAACUGGAUACAGUGGUGCACUCCUUUAAUUCUAGCACUUGGGCCGCAAAAGCAGGUGGAGUUCUGUGAACUGGAGUCUAGCCUCCUCAGUGAGGUCCAGGUUAGCCAAGGCCACAUGGUGAAAUUGGUCUCAACAAAAUAAAACAACAAAAAAGACAGUUCACCUGGCCGUCUAUAAUGUGCUGUGAAGGUGAAAAUACAGAGGGUACAUUCUCACCUCCAAGCACAGCUUCGUCAUCUUGGCCCUUUGGCCUGGGAAUUAUGGUGUUUGUCAAAGGCCACACCUACCCACUUGGUGUGUGAUCGUAUUUGAUCAGCAAUGGAUAAUGACUGUGAAUAAGUCUGGGCGCAACUCAGGGCUGGAAAUCAUUCACUGUUGCUCAUGGAACCACAUUCAUCAAAGUCAGAAGGGACAGAUUAAAGCCUAAAACCAUAAAAGUGGCUGGAAGAAAGUGUGAAGUCACGAUCGACUUUAAAGACUUACGAGGGAUGCAUGGAAAAUCCAGAGUAAUCAUUCUCAGGCCAAGACAAGUUGGUAGAGGAGCGUAUGCUAACAUGCUUGAGGAGGAAGUGGAGGAGCCUACCGAAGGUGCAGAGGACUGUUAGUGUAGAAGUGAGGACUUGGAGGAGCCUGUGGAGACAUCCUCAGAGAGAGAGAGAGAGAGAGAGACAAAGAUAAGGAAACAGAAGCAGAGCUGGUGAUGUCGACAUGACUGCCAGAUGCCCGACUAUUGAGUCACACAGAAAUUGAAGCCCAAAGUUACGGGCUACGACCCUCAAACAGAACACAAAGCCACCCGUGUCACCGCUGGAGGAGUAGCACCCAGCACCGUGGGCCGAAGUUCUCUGAAGAGGCCGGAUCUGUACUGAAGAUCCUGACUGAUAGAAAGCUGGAACUGUGGGGAGGUGGAAUGUGGUCACUGGGCUAUCUUGGGUCCCCUAACAGCCACUUAGCUUAACUAUUGCAUCUGACCCAGCAUUCUCCUGGCUAAUAGGUAAACUUCUUGGAAUGUGUCACUAAGCUUACCGUCCCUGGAGCCUCCACCAAGCCUAAGACCAACACUGCCGAGAGAUAACAUCUGUGAGUCUCUAGAAAAGAUUUCCUGGCUUUGGAGACAGCCUACCUGGUGCUUCCAGCCAUGUAAUUAGAAAAUUGAUAGAUGGCUUGCUUUUGUUCCGGGACUAUAAAAGUUCACCUUUUCCACGGUGGAAUGUGUCAUUCAGGGCAAUUCAAGUCAAUGUUCUUGGGCCAUAGUUACUCAGUGGCUUGGGAUAACCAUGUUCUUCUUUCCUUUAAAGCAGUUAUUCUUCUAUGUUUGACAGCAAUGCUGUGCUGAGUUAUAAAGUAAAAAUCACA